rnacentral:misc_RNA from 1 species
AAGUCGUAACAAGGUUUCCGUAGGUGAACCUGCGGAAGGAUCAUUAAUUAUUCAUCGGAAGAGUCCAGGUGGGCUGUGGAGGUAUGGGCAACCAUGCCUACCACACGCCCCUUCUUCAUGAACAUCCCUUCUGUGUAUCAAACCUUUGUUGCUUCCCGCAUGGCGUGGCCUGCAAGGGCUACACUGCGGGGAGGAUAUCAUAAACUCUGGUUGUUGUAUUGUUAGUCUGAGUGGUAAACACAUUAAACAAGUUAAAACUUUCAACAACGGAUCUCUUGGUUCUC